rnacentral:rRNA from 1 species
UACGGAGGAUCCGAGCGUUAUCCGGAUUUAUUGGGCUUAAAGGGUGCGUAGGUGGCCUGUUAAGUCAGGGGUGAAAGACGGUAGCUCAACUAUCGCAGUGCCCUUGAUACUGAUGGGCUUGAAUGAACUAGAGGUAGGCGGAAUGUGACAAGUAGCGGUGAAAUGCAUAGAUAUGUCACAGAACGCCAAUUGCGAAGGCAGCUUACUAUGGUUUUAUUGACACUGAGGCACGAAAGCGUGGGGAUCAAACAGG